UCGCCAUUGCUUAAUAUUGCUCUGUCAGAGUGAGGUAGUAGAUUGUAUAGUUGUGGGGUAGUGAUUUUACCCUGUUCAGGAGAUAACUAUACAAUCUAUUGCCUUCCCUGAGGAGUAGACAUUCUACUGUUUGCUGU
rnacentral:pre_miRNA from 12 species